rnacentral:rRNA from 1 species
AUUCCGGUUGAUCCUGCCGGAGGCCAUUGCUAUCGGAGUCCGAUUUAGCCAUGCUAGUUGCACAAGUUUAGACUCGUAGCAUAUAGCUCAGUAACACGUGGCCAAACUACCCUACAGACCGCGAUAACCUCGGGAAACUGAGGCCAAUAGCGGAUAUCACUCUCAGACUGGAGUGUCGAGAGUGAGAAACGUUCCGGCGCUGUAGGAUGUGGCUGCGGCCGAUUAGGUAGACGGUGGGGUAAC